rnacentral:rRNA from 1 species
UACGUAGGGUGCGAGCGUUAAUCGGAAUUACUGGGCGUAAAGCGUGCGUAGGUGGUUCGUUGUGUCUGUGGUGAAAGCCCCGGGCUUAACCUGGGAAUGGCCAUGGAAACUGGCGAGCUGGAGUGUGGCAGAGGAGGGUGGAAUUCCGCGUGUAGCAGUGAAAUGCGUAGAUAUGCGGAGGAACACCGAUGGCGAAGGCAGCCUCCUGGGAUAACACUGACGCUCAUGCACGAAAGCGUGGGGAGCAAACAGG